UUUACUAUUUUUUAGAGAAAUCCCUUUAUUACAGAUAAUGUUACAGAUGUUUAGUUCAUUACAAUUGUCAGACAUUUAUUUAGGACAAAGAUGUGGAAAGGUUUAGUAUGGCCGCAUAGAACAUCUAAUCUCAGCCUAAAACUCUGCCUGUCAGCUAGUAAACCUGUGACCAGAAAAAUAGAGGGGAUUGCUCUAAAAUAUAGUAAAAAGCAGUAUUUUGAGUGGUUAGAGGAGAUGAUGGAUGUCUUAAGAGUUAUUCUGCAAGUGCAUUUGACAAGAAGGGGAGAAGGUGAGUCAUUAUUUUAGGGCUGAAAAACGGUCUCAGUAACUGCGACCAAACAGCGUGUAGAACUGCGCAGGCUCUUUGCCGCUGACGCACAUCUGACCGGCCUGCAGGGUCUUC